GAACGCUAGCGGCGUGCCUAACACAUGCAAGUCGAACGAGAAAGGGGCUUCGGCCCUGAGUAAAGUGGCGCACGGGUGAGUAACACGUAAGUAACCUGCCUCUAAGACUGGGAUAACCUGUCGAAAGACGGGCUAAUACCAAAUAAGACCACGGUCUCUUCGGAGACUGAGGUCAAAGGUAGCCUCUAUUUAUAUGCUAUCGCUUAGAGAUGGGCCUGCGCACCAUUAGCUAGUUGGUGGGGUAAGAGCCUACCAAGGCAAAGAUGGUUAGCUGGUCUGAGAGGAUGAUCAGCCACACUGGGACUGAGACACGGCCCAGACUCCUACGGGAGGCAGCAGUUAGGAAUCCUGCGCAAUGGGCGAAAGCCUGACGCAGCGACGCCGCGUGCGGGAUGAAGGCCUUCGGGUUGUAAACCGCUUUCAGCAGGGACGAAAUUGACGGUACCUGCAGAAGAAGCCCCGGCCAACUACGUGCCAGCAGCCGCGGUAAUACGUAGGGGGCAAGCGUUGUCCGGAUUUAUUGGGCGUAAAGAGCUCGUAGGUGGUUUGGUAAGUCGGAUGUGAAAUCUCCAGGCUCAACCUGGAGGGGUCAUUCGAUACUGCCAUGACUAGAGGUCGGUAGGGGAGUGUGGAAUUCCUGGUGGAGCGGUGAAAUGCGCAGAUAUCAGGAGGAACACCGGUGGCGAAGGCGGAUCUCUGGGCCUUACCUGACGCUGAGGCGCGAAAGCUAGGGGAGCGAACAGGAUUAGAUACCCUGGUAGUCCUAGCCGUAAACGUUGGGUGCUAGGUGUGGGCGGACAUCGACCCCGUCCGUGCCGAAGCUAACGCAUUAAGCACCCCGCCUGGGGAGUACGGCCGCAAGGCUAAAACUCAAAGGAAUUGACGGGGGCCCGCACAAGCGGCGGAGCAUGCGGCUUAAUUCGAUGCGACGCGAAGAACCUUACCUGGGCUUGACAUGCAGGGCAAAGCCGGUGAAAGCCGGCGCUCCACGGAGCCUGCACAGGUGGUGCAUGGCUGUCGUCAGCUCGUGCCGUGAGGUGUUGCCUUAAGUGGCGCAACGAGCGCAACCCUUGUCCCUAGUUGCCAGCGGGUAAAGCCGGGAACUCUAGGGAGACUGCCGGUGCCAAACCGGAGGAAGGUGGGGAUGACGUCAAGUCAUCAUGCCCCUUAUGUCCAGGGCUGCACGCAUGCUACAAUGCGCGGUACAAAGGGCUGCGAUCCCGUAAGGGGGAGCGAAUCCCAAAAAGCCGCGCUCAGUUCGGAUCGGGGUCUGCAACCCGACCCCGUGAAGUCGGAGUCGCUAGUAAUCGCAGAUCAGCAAUGCUGCGGUGAUAAUAUCCCGGGCGGUUGUACACACCGCCCGUAAGGGCAGAUUCGUUA
rnacentral:rRNA from 1 species